rnacentral:rRNA from 1 species
AACGAACGCUGGCGGCAGGCCUAACACAUGCAAGUCGAACGCUCGUAGCAAUACGGGAGUGGCAGACGGGUGAGUAACACGUGGGAACCUUCCCUAUGGUUCGGAAUAGCUCAGGGAAACUUGGGGGUAAUACCGGAUAAGCCCUUCGGGGGAAAGAUUUAUCGCCAUUGGAUGGGCCCGCGUCGGAUUAGCUAGUUGGUGAGGUAACGGCUCACCAAGGCAACGAUCCGUAGCUGGUCUGAGAGGANGAUCAGCCACACUGGGACUGAGACACGGCCCAGACUCCUAAGGGAGGCAGCAGUGGGGAAUCUUGCGCAAUGGGCGAAAGCCUGACGCAGCGACGCCGCGUGCGGGAAGAAGGCC